CCGCAUUGAACAGAGCACUCACUCGUGACCUACCCCUCACAGCGCCUCCUCCCUCCUUCCCUUUCCUCCAACUCCGCCGCCGGCCUAGGUCCCGGUCAAAUCCGGCCACUCCCCGCCCCGCCGACCACCUCCCUGGAACCCUCUCACUAAUCCACCGCGAGGAACCACCAAGCCUCGCCUCCAACAGAAACCCUGGUCUCAAAUCCGGAUCCGACGAACCCUAGCGGCACACCUGCCGGUCGCUGUCGAGGGCGAACCUGCCGUUCUCACGCGGCUUCUACAGGUCCUCCCCGACCUCCCUCAACAACGGUUCCAUUCGCCCAGCGUGGCCCCGUUCACCGGAUGCCGUUGUCCCGCGUCCUCUCCCUCCAGCUCCCGGCUAGGGUUAACUGGAUCCGGAGGCGGCUGGCCGCGCGGAGGAGGAUCUCGGCGCCUUCCUCUCCCUCCUAAGGUGGCGUGGCUUCAAGCAUAGGAGGAGCCGCCGCGACCGGUGCUCCUUCCCGAGGAGGACGGGCUCCACCUCGACCCGACCGCUGCGGCCGCGGUCCAGGACGCUGGCCGCACUAACGACAGAGUCUAUGCGAAGGUCCUGCUCACAUCCGCAACCAUCUCUCCAUGUUGUAGGUCUGCUGCUGCCAAGGGAGGAUCAGCGCCAGCAGCUUAAUGAUCGACAAGUUCAAACCCUCCUCGAAUGUGUCACCUCCAGCAUACAUUUAUAAAACUACCACUAUAAUCAGUUUUAUGCUUAUCUUGUUUAGAAGAUAACUAUGUAGCUCAGCUGACUACUUUUUUUUUCCUGAUGACUAACGAUCUUAUUUUCCUUUCCGUAGAAGAAACACAAACAAUUCCAGAAGCUGAAAAGUCUAUGGUUUGUGAGAAUACACUUGGCUUUGUUAGUCAAUUGCCUCCAUUUGUAAGUUUGCAGGAGAAUGCUCAUAAGGUUGCGAAAGUCCAAGCCAGUACGUGUUUGUUGAUGCUUGUAGUUUGUACUGUCUCAGAUUGUGGAGAUUGUGGCUGUGUGUACAUAGAUAACUCAUGUUAGAAGAUAGAUGAUUGUUUCUGUAACAUAUGCAACUUUAUGCGAUACAUUCAGCUGCAUGGCUCUUUUACCUGACAGAAGUGUAAUGUUCUGUUCUUUUUUGUAUGU